CAAAGGUCUGGUCCUAGCCUUACUAUUUGUUUUAACUAAACUUACACAUGCAAGUCUCUUCUCCCCAGUGAAAAUGCCCUUUACCCUCUUAUUAGAGGGAGAGGAGUCGGUAUCAGGCUCAAUUAGCCCAAGACACCUAGCCAAGCCACACCCCCAAGGGACCCCAGCAGUGAUUAAUAUUAAACAUUGGCGUAAGCCAGAUUUAGUUAUAGUUAAGAAAGUCGGUUAAUUUCGUGCCAGCCACCGCGGUUAUACGAGAGACUUUAACUAAUAGACGUCGGCGUAAAGCGUGAUUAGGGGAUUAAUUCAAUAAAGUUAAACUCUAGCCUAGCUGUUAUACGCUUACGCUCUUGAGAAACCCACCAACGAAAGUAACUUUAAUACCUUCCCCCGAACUCACGGUAGCCAAGACACAAACUAGGAUUAGAUACCCUACUAUGCUUGGCCUCAAACUUUGAUUAUUUACACUCACCAUUCGCCAGGGAACUACGAGCAAUAGCUUAAAACCCAAAGGACUUGGCGGUGCCCUACACCACCUAGAGGAGCCUGUUCUAUAAUCGAUAAUCCACGAUACACCUCACCGUUUCUUGCCAAGACCGCCUAUAUACCGCCGUCGUCAACUUACCCCUUGAGGGCCACAUAGUAAGUUUAAGGGUAUUCACCAAAACGUCAGGUCAAGGUGUAGCGAAUGAAACGGAAAGAAAUGGGCUACAUUUUCUAUAUUAGAUUACACGGACAACCAAUAUGAAACUUGGUUGCGAAGGAGGAUUUAGCAGUAAAAAGAGAUCAUUAAGUUCUUUUUAACACGGCCCUAGGGCGCGCACACACCGCCCGUCGCCCUCUUCGACUCUUAAAAAUUAAUUCAUAAUAAGUUAACUAUGAAAUUAGAAGAGGUAAGUCGUAACAUGGUAAGUAUACCGGAAGGUGUACUUGGAACAGA
rnacentral:ncRNA from 1 species